UCGAGUUGUCUGUUGUUGUUUUGUUAUUGUUUGUUAUCAAAAUCAAAUUUUUAAUUUUCCAUUCCUUCUAAGUUCUAAUUAUUUCUUUUCGAAACAGAAACAAAUUACUUCGCCAAACUGCUCGACGUGAAGUGAACAAUUUUUAUAACCAGCCUCAUUGUAAUGCAAUUGAAAAUUUCUAUGUAAGUUGCGCACUCGUUUUUCAAUUGUUCUUUUCUUCACUGUGAAGUGUGAGGCAUACGAUCACAAUUUUGGUUUGGGGCGCGGUCCACGAAUUGGAAGCAGACGCGGCCCAAAAAAUGGGCGAUAUCCAUAUGGGAAGAAGAAAUGAAUUGGAGGCCAUGGAAAGAUUCGUAAAGGACCAAUCCUGACAAAUGGAGGCCGAGGCCGAGGCCAGGUCCAAUAUCCCCACAUCGGUCCACGAUUAUGCUCAUCUCUUGGAGCGAUAGGAGAGUUUGAUAUAAGUGCACGUCCUCCAACGGCACUGUUGUUUUCCUGUGGCUGUAAUGUGCAAAAAUCAUUUACAGUCUUCUCUGAAUUCAUCAUAGGUUCAUCGAAGAAGUACUACCUCUCUGCGAAGAAUUUCGAAUUUCUCUUUCAACCGCAAGCGAUUUUCUUCUUUCAUUUGGCGAGCAUCUCCGAGGUCUCGAUGUAUUUCUGUAAUCGGUAAAGUGAAGAAUUAUUUCCAUAUUUAUUUCAAUUCUACAGUCAAUUUCGAAUUAGUACCUGUUACUGCGAUUGCUUGCAUCUUGAGAAUUUCUACUUAAAUCUCUGCGUUGAUAUCUUGACCCAUGACUGAAAAUGGAAUAGAUCAGGAAUUAUUUCAUUUUCAUUUUUCCCCGUUGGUUUCAAAUUUAACUGAGUACAUUUUAAUUUUAAUAUAAUACCCAUAAUCAUGAUAGUUUCCAUUACGCGCUUCAUGUCUAGAAUUCUCACUCAAAAUGUGUCCGACACCUCUUGACUCGCGUUGGUCGCGUCUAAAAAUGAAAAAUGCAGGAAAUAAUUAUUUCUUCUCUCAAAAGAUUAUUUUUCUGUUUCUUCAUUUGCUUCAGAUUUUUCAGCUUAAUUUCUAACUAUCACCUGUCGGCGUGAUCAGCUCUACUUCCAGUUUCAUAUCUGGAAUUCCCAUUCAAAAUGCUGUUUGCCCGUCUUCUUUGAUAAUUCUGCGCAUAAUCGAAAUGUCCUAAAAAUGUCAAUGUCAUAAGAUUAAUAUGAAAGGUUUUCAAUUUUUUCAUGUUAUUACUUAUUAGCCUCAUUUUUCAUUUUUUUUUUUUUGUUGUUUUUUUUAAAUUUAUCUGGACAAUUUAUUAAGCGGGUAGGCUUGAAAAAAAUCGGAAUAGGUAAAAAAAAAUUAUCAAAUUUGCUUUGGCAUCGGAAAAAUAAAAAGUCAUGAGUUGUGAUUUCUGCUGUUUAUUGCAAAGCAUUUUACCCAAUAGGCUACGUAGAUUUUGUGAAAUUUUCAACCCAGUUGUGGAUAUUUUUUUUUUGGAUCCUCUUCCCCCUCCUUUUGUAGCGUGGAUUUCUUCGCUAAGUAGGUACCUACUAGUGAAUUCUGAUAUCAGUGUUUGAGGACAUUUUCAUGAUUUCUCAGAAUAGGUACUUCAGAAUUCAUCAUUAUUGUAUGAUUGUCUUCUCGGUGGUGAUAAAAUGAAAUGAUAAACUUGAAACAAUGGGUUAAGGCUUUUACCUGUUCUUCAUUCUUAUUUCCAUCAAUCAGCAAAUGACGUCAUUAUUUUUCAUGGUAAGAUUGUGUAAUACUUUUUACUUGAUUGACUCAAAUUUUUAAAAAAGUAUAUAGAUUCCUACAUCAAUUUUGAAAUAAAAGAUUACAUAAGAGUUCGUAAAGAAAAACUAUAAAAAUCUAAUAUUUUCAAAGAAAGAGAAAAAAAGAAAAAAUUUGGAAAAUUUAAACUGAUUACAAAAUUCUAAAUCGAGAAAAGACUUUCUUUAAAUUGAACUUUUAAUCACAGUACACGUUAUUUUUUACUUCUAUGGAAUUUAAGAGAAUUGUUUAUCUACUUUUGAGACAAUAAUAAGAGAAAAACGUGCAAAAUAAAAUAAAAAUAAGCGAAGAUGUGGCAUAUUUGAAAUAGUAUCGCUCUGACUUUUCUGAAAGGGUCUCCGUUGUCAUGAGCCAAAUCCUAUUAGGAACACAUUGACUGAAUCUGAUGGGUGGUUCAUAUCACUGCUAUGAUUUCUGGUCAAGAUCUUUUUUGUCGCACCUCAGGACCUCAUUUCGUUUAUCUUUCCAGGAUGUGUUAGCGAAGAAUCAUGAGCGCAUUCUUAAGGUAUUGAGAUGCAAUGUCAUUAUUAAAAGGGUGCAAAACCUUCAAUUUUAUUACAUAUAAUGCAAAAUAAAAUGAAAUGUGAACUACUACACGCAGCUGAUGUGAAUAAAAAUACAUAAUUUCAAAAUAAAUUAUUGGUGACCACACGAGAUUAAAAAUGUAGGUAUAAAAAAUUAAGUCAUGUCAUAAAGGUCUUUUUUUACGUUAAUAAUUCUCAAUCCAUUUUAUGAAUGGUGUAGGUAUUCAAAAUUAAAAUUAUGAAUAAUUCUUAUGAAAAUAUUAACGCAGGUAUUAUUUGAUCGUAUUUCAUUAUACAUUUACGUUAGACUGAUUUGCAAUCCUUCUAUAAUUAUUAUUUAAAGUAAUAAAAUUAUGUAAAAAGAUCAUAUGGAUUGGAAUUCAUUCCUGAUGGCUUACGUUAAUUAUAUUUCAUUAAUUUCUAAUACUUGGUAAAAAAAAUAUAUAUAUAUUCAAAGAAGUGAAACCAUUCGAAUACAAACUUCUGGGUACACGUCUCCGAGUUCCAGUAUUUCUGUUACCUCUUCGGUGGUUCAACGCUUGAAAAAAAAAACAAAAUAUACUUAAUUAGGUACAUUUCAUUGGAAGAAUUUUGAAUUUUUCACAUACAUAUAAUUAAAUUGCUGUGAAUUUCUUAUUUCAAGAACUUCAGUAUAAGUAGGGAUUUUUAGUUUGUAUUAUCUUCCAAAAAAACAAAAAUUAGAACGUAACAAACUCGUAUCAAUUCAUAUUUUCUGUUAGGUAUAAAUGUAACCUUUUGUUGGUUUUGUUAUCACAAUGGUUAAUUAGUUGCCAUUGUAGAUCUCAAAUGAUCAUUGUAAUUGAAAUGAUCAAAUAUUUCAACUAUACAGAAAGUAAAUGUGAAACAGUAUAGUUGAGUAAGAUAUUUCUAACAAGAGAUAAUCGUUUUGUUUUAAAAUGGUUUGAAUGAGCGAUAUCUUCACAAAAGUCUCAAAAUAGAUAUUAAUUACUUACUGCACGCAUGCAGUGCAAAUUUCAAUAUGUACCUGCAUGAUGACGAUUUCCGUCCAUAUCUCCACCGUUGACAGCAGUGAUAAAUAUAUAUAAUGGUAUUCAAUGCUGGAGAAAAUAAUUAUUUUGACAAUUUACGCUAUUUAUAAAUCGUACUUAUAUACUCAUCACAGGGUAAAAAAAACUUACCUCUGUAUUAAAAAGAAGGCCUAAGUCAUUCAUAAAGUUGGAAAUAUGUAAAUCAUAAAGAUCCUUUUAAUGAUUUUAUAACAAGACACUAAACUAAUCAAUUUAGGCCUAUACUUAAUUAUUUCAUAAAAUUUUCUUCAACGACUACCAACAACGUCUCGCAUACUGUGAUUUUCAAAGCGAUGGAAUUGGUUUAUGAGGAAGUGACGAAGGGGUGUAGGGUGUAGCAUCAAUGCUGCGAGAAUGCGAGAUGCCCUUUUACAAAUUUCGUCAUAAAUUACACAAUUUUUAAUGAAUCGUUUUCAAUUUAUGAAUUUAAAAUGACUUACGAUUACGAAUGCUUGUUACAGACUUUAUUGGAGAAAUUCGUUGACAAUUAAUGUUAGUGUAAGAAAUCCGGGUUACUUUCAAGUUUCAACUUUGAAUUUGAUAUAUCGGUUUAGGUUCAAAAAGGCCUGUAUGUGCUUUACCGACUUUUAAAAAUUAAAUAUUUUCGUAUUAUUGUUAUGUAUUUCUCUGAUAAGAUGACAACUUGUUAUGCAUUGCAUUCUGAUAUUGUAUUUUAUUGAAGAUUGAAGAAUAAAUAAGAAAGUUAAGUUGAGUACUUAUUUGAUGAAAGCUGUAUCUAAUACGUAAUUACAAGGUAAUCACAAACAUACAUGUAAUUUGUAAUUCAUUCAAUGCUCAAUGGACAAAAAAAUAAUAAAGUUAUUACGGCUAUAA